AACCAAUGAUAUUCAGGGGCUUGUGGCAGAAGGUGUGUGUUGGCCGUUGCUUCCGAGACGUUCUCAUCCCAACUCGUCACAUACCGCCGCUUUGUCACGCCCAUUGGCGUCACUUUAUUUUCGGCAUCAAAACCACUAUAGUUACCCUUGGCAUCACGUUAGGGAUUAGGCAACAAAAGCAUUAGAGUUAGGUUUAGGAAAGAACUACAUGGUUGGACUUAAAACGACUGUUUGUACAGUGAAAAAUCCACGUAGCAGGAUGGUCAGAGCGGUGGCCAUUUUAUGUGUAACGCUGCCGUUGCGGCGGUUUUAGUGGGUCCAACGGCCCCUCAGCCUCACUCCCCCCCCACUCCAUAGAAGGACAGGCUACCUAUCCUAUCAAACAGGAUAGGUGGAAUAGAGAAAGACAUGUUGACACACAGGCCUGACACCUGUGGCAAUCCAAUUUUAAUCCGACUACAAGGAACCAAGUUAACCCAUGAAGACCUCUACUGGAUACAUACGCCAUAGUUACUAUAAAUAGUGCUAUACUAAGCCAGUCAGGGUCACCUGUAAAUGAGAACCUCAUGAAAGAAUGAGAGUAAUGAGGAGAAGACAAAAACCUUUGAAGAAUGAUAAAUUAUAUGAUUGUACUGAAUAUGUACAAACAGACAUUUUAUUUGUUUUAUUAACAUUCCAAGUGUGCAUCUCUGAACCAAAAGGUCAAGCUAUUAUUCAUAAUUAUUGUAACCAUCAAUGACAUCAAAAUGUUUUCUGUUUGCUGAAAUUAAACUAAUUACAGGUCUAUAAGAUAACAUUUACUGUCAACUCUCCUACAGUAAAACGUUUAAAAAACAGUCCAUAGGCUGUCUACACAUGGCUUAGAGCAGUGGUGUCUCAAACUAUGGUACGUGUACCACUGGUGGUACGUGUGCUCCCUCUAGUGGUACGCGGAGGAAUCUCUGAAAUAUAUAUAAAAAAAAAGAAAGAACUAUAAUUAAUUAAAAAACAUAUAAUACUAUCAAAUACUACUACAAUUGAAAUGACAUACAUCAUUGAAAUGGGAUUUAAAAUAAGUUUGGGCUUUGCUGUAAUAUUUUUAUUUGAAACAAAAAAACGUAUGCCUCCUCUACGUAGCAGCUACGUAGUUGGGUAUUAGUGCAUGCAAACAUCCACGAUUAGUUACAAGCUAAACUGUGAUGACAAGAUAGUAAGCGAGGUAGCUAAAUUGAUGAAGGGUUCAAAAACACUGCAAUCGUGGCUCUAAACGGGAAACUAUUAUUAUGGUUUUAUGGAAGAGUUUAAGUGCCAGCUCUAGUGCUACCCCUUUGUCAGCUUUGGCUGACAAAAGUCAACAAUAAGUAAUAUUAUUAUUAGGAAAAUAUUUUCCUACUCUGUGAACUGUGCAUUGCUGACAAUGGGUAGGCCUAUACGCUACUGUAUUUUAACAUCGGUCAUAAUGGUGGUAUUUGGAGAGACAUAUUUUCUUAGGUGGUACGUGAUGUAAAAAGUUUGAGAACCACUGGCUUAGAGAAUUACCCAUCAGGCACAAGAGGAAACUGCCCUGGGGCCCCAGAGCCCGAGGGCCUGCAAAAGCCUCAGGUUCAGUGUUUGGCAGUUGGUUUUGGGUCGUCUGAGUAACUGUAACUGAGUUUUAGGAUACUGGAAGGUGAAUAUUAUCACCUAGCAUGAUAAGGGCCUCUGUCUUGGAGAGGGACCCUGUGUUAAAAUAUAGAUUUAACCUCCAUCAUUUCAGCUGAUAUUGUGCUUACAUGGUGGAUAAUCUGUAAAUCAUUUGUAUGUAUUUCUGGAACACUGUAAACAGUGUGUGUGUGUGUAUAACUGUAGUGUAUAUAAGGUAUACUUUUUUCUGUGUUUAGUUAUUCAUUGAAUACAAUUUACAUCUGUUAUUGUUUUAAUUUAUUUGGAGGAAAAAAACAUCAAUGUUGACUUUGUUAAGAUGUAUUUAUUUAAUCAUUUCAUGAAUUUCAUGGAAUAACUUUUUAUUCAAACCUUGUGUUUUAAACAUUUCCAUGGCAUUUGUAUAAAGAAGCUAAAAUAUGGUUUAGAAUGGACUUCUUAUUAUCUUAUAUAAUCAUAAUAUUAGGUGAUUAUGGGGACGAUAUCUAUAGAUCUCUAUCUAUAGGUGAUUAUGAUGAUGUUAUCUAUAGUUUCUUUAUCUAUAGGUGAUUAUGGUGACAUUAUCUAUAGAUCUCUAUAGGUGAUUAUGGUGAGGUUAUCUAAAUGAUCUGUAUCUAUAGGUGAUGAUGGUGACAUUAUCUAUAGAUUUCUAUCUAUAGGUGAUUAUGAUGACGUUAUCUAUAGAUCUCUAUCUAUAGGUGAUUAUGGUGACAUUAUCUAUAGAUCUCUAUCUAUAGGUGAUUAUGGUGACGUUAUCUAUAGAUCUCUAUCUAUAGGUGAUUAUGGUGACGUUAUCUAUAGAUCUCUAUCUAUAGGUGAUUAUGGUGACAUUAUCUAUAGAUCUCUAUCUAUAGGUGAUGAUGGUGACAUUAUCUAUAGAUCUCUAUCUAUAGGUGAUUAUGGUGACGUUAUCUAUAGAUCUCUAUCUAUAGGUGAUUAUGGUGACAUUAUCUAUAGGAUCUCUAUCUAUAGGUGAUUAUGGUGACAUUAUCUAUAGAUCUCUAUCUAUAGGUGAUUAUGGUGACGUUAUCUAAAGGAUCUCUAUCUAUAGGUGAUUAUGGUGACAUUAUCUAAAGGAUCUCUAUCUAUAGGUGAUUAUGGUGAUGUUAUCUAAAGGAUCUCUAUCUAUAGGUGAUUAUGGUGAGGUUAUCUAUAGAUCUCCUAUCUAUAGGUGAUUAUGGUGACGUUAUAUAUAGAUCUCUAUCUAUAGGUGAUUAUGGUGACAUUAUCUAUAGAUCUCUAUCUAUAGGUGAUUAUGGUGACGUUAUCUAUAGAUCUCUAUCUAUAGGUGAUUAUGGUGACAUUAUCUAUAGAUCUCUAUCUAUAGGUGAUUAUGGUGACAUUAUCUAGAGGAUCUCUAUCUAUAGGUGAUUAUGGUGACAUUAUCUAUAGAUCUCUAUCUAUAGGUGAUUAUGGUGACGUUAUCUAAAGGAUCUCUAUCUAUAGGUGAUUAUGGUGACAUUAUCUAUAGAUCUCUAUCUAUAGGUGAUUAUGGUGACGUUAUCUAAAGGAUCUCUAUCUAUAGGUGAUUAUGGUGACAUUAUCUAAAGGAUCUCUAUCUAUAGGUGAUUAUGGUGACGUUAUCUAAAGGAUCUCUAUCUAUAGGUGAUUAUGGUGACAUUAUCUAUAGAUCUCUAUCUAUAGGUGAUUAUGGUGACGUUAUCUAAAGGAUCUCUAUCUAUAGGUGAUUAUGGUGACAUUAUCUAUAGAUCUCUAUCUAUAGGUGAUUAUGGUGACGUUAUCUAAAGGAUCUCUAUCUAUAGGUGAUUAUGGUGACAUUAUCUAAAGGAUCUCUAUCUAUAGGUGAUUAUGGUGACGUUAUCUAAAGGAUCUCUAUCUAUAGGUGAUUAUGGUGAGGUUAUCUAUAGAUCUCCCUAUCUAUAGUUGAUUAUGGUGACGUUAUAUAUAGAUCUCUAUAUAUAGGUGAUUAUGAUGACCUUAUCUAUAGAUCUCUAUCUAUAGGUGAUUAUGGUGACGUUAUCUAUAGAUCUCUAUCUAUAGGUGAUUAUGGUGGACGUUAUCCAAAGGAUCUCUAUCUAUAGGUGAUUAUGGUUAUCUAGAGACACGCCUCUGCCUCCACUCUCUAAACCUUAGAUCCAGUUCAUCACUCCGCCUAAUAGAUUUAUGACCGCUGACUUCUACUCAUCACUGCAUCCUGUAUGAAAAGGUUGGGUGGGCCUCUCUAACAGUAAGAUGUGAUAGGCAUUGGUUUGUAUUUAUUUAUAAAGUCCUUAAUGUCAACUUGCCGUCAUACAUCACGUCCUUAUAUAAUUGGUCCUUUAGUCAUUCGACUCGUUCAAGUGAUCGGCUAAAGCUUGAAGUCCCGCUUGAAAACACUACAUUUGGGCAAACUGAUUUUGGUGUUUUUGCUGCAAAAACAUGGAACAGUUUACAAAACACAUUAAAAUUAAACACAUUUGUACCUCGAGGUGAUUUUAAAUCCAUGAUUACAAACUACUAACUGUCUUUAACGUUGUUCUAUUGUUGUCUGACUGUAUGCUUUUUGUAAUUCAUUAAUUAUAGUAUGGUCUGUGUUUAUUUAUUCAGUUUUAUUGUACUCUCGACAUCAUUGUAAAUGAGGGCAAGCCCUCAAUGAUUCCUCCAGAUUUAAAUAAAGGUUGAAUGAAAAGUC